rnacentral:rRNA from 1 species
AUGAAUUUAUCUAUGCAGUUAAUGGACGUAGUGACAGCAUACUUGUAUGGGUCACUAAAAUCGGACAUAUAUAUGAAAGUUCCUGAAGGACUUAAAAUGCCGAAUCCAAAAGCAAAUCGCAACGCAUAUUGUGUAAAAUUACGAAAGUCACUCUAUGGCUUAAAACAGUCGGGUAGAAUGUGGUAUAACCGACUGAGUGAGUUUCUUAUUCAGAAAGGAUACUCAAAUAAUGAUGAUUGCCCUUGUGUAUUUAUAAAGAAAUCCUCAAAUGGAUUUUGCAUCAUCUCAGUGUACGUUGAUGAUCUCAGUAUCAUUGGGAGUACACAUGAUAUAAAAGAAGCACGCAAUCAUUUAAUGACGGAAUUUGAGAUGAAAGAUUUGGGAAAGACCAAAUUUUGCUUAGGCAUACAGCUUGAGCAUCUUCCCUCAGGAAUUUUAGUAUACCAACCUGCUUAUAUCCAAAAGGUUUUGGAAAAAUUCAAUAUGGAUAAAUCAUAUCCAACCAAAACACCCAUGGUUGUCAGAUCCCUUGAUAUGAAUAAAGAUCCUUUUAGACCUCGGGAUGAUGAUGAAGAGAUAUUAGGACCUGAGUUCCCGUAUCUCAGUGCUAUUGGUGCGCUAAUGUACCUUGCAAAUUGCACCAGGCCUGAUAUUGCAUUUGCGGUAAAUUUACUAGCUAGACAUAGCGCUACUCCAACAAAAUGUCAUUGGACAGGAGUAAAGAAUAUCUUUAGAUAUUUACAUGGCACAAAAGAUCUUGGCUUAUUCUAUCAGAAAAACGAAGAUAUGACUAUGGUAGGAUAUACUGACGCUGGCUAUUUAUCUGAUCCUCACAAUGCUAGGUAA